UAGACCUCAGACCUCUCGUCUCCUCAAUGCAGCAUGUUGCUCCAGCGCUGCAGAGACACCUCGCACUCUGUCACACAGUGCUCGUGCUGACUGCUCCCUUACUUUCACUUCACACCAGGUGCUCCCUAAGACAGGCUCAGGUCUUCUCGACUCCUCCCCUUCAGGACCUUAAAAGGAAGCACACCUGAUAGAAGGCACCUGCCAGCCUAAUCAGCUGUAAGCAGGAGGCGCAGCAGGGCCGUCACAGAAUUAAAACAAUGCAGAGGUAAAAGGUGAAAAUGUGUGAAUUAAGGUGUCAGAGGAGCUGCGACAUUUUGUCCAACAAAAGCAACAGUAACACAGCGACCCUGGGGCGUCUGUCCGUCCUGCUGUGAUGUUAAAUACGUGAUGUUCAUCAGCUGUGAAACCAUCUGCAGUCCAGAGCUGAUGCCAGACGACCCUGACCCACAGACCCCUCCCCGACAAGAGACAUUUCAACAGAACGACAGCAAAUGUCAUGCCUGAGUACUCGCGCCGGGCGUGCCCACCCUCGCCAGUGUGGAUGUUAUAAAACUUCACUUUUUGAAGUCCAUAUUUCUCACACGUGCGGGGCUGUGAUGGGCUGAUUUCUGUGUCAACCGGAGGAGCAGAGAGAGCAAAGACACGGUGGCCUCUGACAUGACAUCAUCUUUAUCUGCUCCUUGAAGCUGUCUCUCUCCAUCCAUCUGCUGUUACCAUGACUCCCGCUGUCGUCGCUGCUUCCUACGGCACAAGCUGGCACCAAGCCUUGGAAGACACUCUUUUUAAUUGAGCUUAUAUUUGUGACCAUCUCCUCUCUCAGAGGACCUGUUGGAAAAUGGUCAAGACUAAGCCAGCUCCAGGUUAUGAGCAAUCUUUAAUGUUUUUUAAAUAUCUGUUGAUUUCUAAGUUGCUAUCAAUUAAAGAAAUUUUGUUCUAUUUUA